rnacentral:lncRNA from 10 species
AUAAACUUCUUACUCUUACAAGACCUAAGCUUUUCAAGGUCCUGCUGAAUUUCUAUAGUCUAUAUAUUUGUAGAUUCCAUUCUGCAAAGUCAUAAGACUGUGCUUGUUACCACUACAUUAAUUAACAAUAUAUAUUUUUGCACCUCUUUUUUUGAACACAUUUUUCCUUCUUCAUUUAUUCCUUUAGGACAGUACAUCUGGUUGUGCUUAAUACCUAUUAACAACAACAAACUAUCCAAUCCCA